rnacentral:rRNA from 1 species
GAUCAUGGCUCAGGACGAACGCUGGCGGCGCGCCUAACACAUGCAAGUCGAACGGAGUUAUUUUGGCAGAAGCCUUCGGGUGGACGCUGAUAUAACUUAGUGGCGAACGGGUGAGUAACACGUGAGCAACCUGCCCUUCAGAGGGGGACAACAGUUGGAAACGACUGCUAAUACCGCAUAAGACCACGGUGUGGCAUCACACAGAGGUCAAAGGAGAAAUCCGCUGAAGGAUGGG